AUAUUUCCAUCCAUCCUUUAUGCUCUGAAGGCACUUCAAAGUAAAAAUGUAAGUGAAGGAUCUGAAUAGUUAAGAACAGAGGAAGAUGUGAGAGGUCUUGAGCCCUUUGCUAUUAUAAUCCCAUUGGCUUCCUGAAACCUCUCAGCAGGUGUGCAGUAGAAAAUCACGUCAAAGUCAUUGGGGGAAAAGGAUUCAAUGAUGAGACAUACCAUAACAGACCUCAGCUAUUUCUUCUAGUAGCAUGAAUUAGAUACAUCUUUGGUGAAUCUGUGAUCAUUGAUAAAGAUGCUGUGUCUGUGCCUCAGUUGAGCUGACAGCCUGUGAUUGGCUGACUCGGAAGUUGCAGAUUGGACUCCAGACCUCAAGCGAAAUGCUCCGAUAGAUCCCAGGCAUCAGGCAGCUCAGGUGUUGGAAUCUUGCCUGAUCACGUGGUCUUCACGUCAGAAAGCCCAGAGAAGAGAACGAGCCUCAGUUUGACUGAAUAACUAGUGCGCCAUCUUCUGGACUUUCAAUGUAUUGCUCAAUUGAUAUUGUUCUAGCAUUUAGCAUUUCGGAGUUUCAUCCAAACUUUAUGUACAAAAGGUGAGACACUAUAAAAACCAGGUGGAAUUACAGAACUUACUGUAUAAAAGAAUAUGACUAGGGGCUAGAUUCUCAAACCCAUCUAUUACAAAAUGUAUUAAUAAAUAAAUAAUGUGAUAUCUGUAUAAUGUGAAAUAAUGUAUAAUGUGAUAUCUUGUAACAAUUGUAAGUCGCCCUGGAUAAGGGCGUCUGCUAAGAAAUUAAUAAUAAUAAUAAUAAUAAUAAUAAUAAUAAUAAUAAUAAUAAUAAU